rnacentral:rRNA from 1 species
AGUGAACGCUGGCGGUAGGCCUAACACAUGCAAGUCGAACGGCAGCACAGUAAGAGCUUGCUCUUACGGGUGGCGAGUGGCGGACGGGUGAGGAAUACAUCGGAAUCUACUUUUUCGUGGGGGAUAACGUAGGGAAACUUACGCUAAUACCGCAUACGACCUACGGGUGAAAGCAGGGGAUCUUCGGACCUUGCGCGAUUGAAUGAGCCGAUGUCGGAUUAGCUAGUUGGCGGGGUAAAGGCCCACCAAGGCGACGAUCCGUAGCUGGUCUGAGAGGAUGAUCAGCCACACUGGAACUGAGACACGGUCCAGACUCCUACGGGAGGCAGCAGUGGGGAAUAGUGGACAAUGGGCGCAAGCCUGAUCCAGCCAUACCGAGUGGGUGAAGAAGGCCUUCGGGUUGUAAAGCCCUUCUGUUGGGAAAGAAAAGCAGCCGGCUAAUACCCAGCUGUUCUGACGGUACUCAAAGAAUAAGCACCGGCUAACUUCGUG